GACGAACCGAGCGAACGUUGUCCGGAUUUACUGGGCGUAAAGAGCGCGCAGGCGGUCGAUCAAGUCGAGUGUGAAAGCCCCCCGGCUCAACUGGGGAGGGUCAUUCGAUACUGAUCGACUCGAAGGCAGGAGAGGGUAGUGGAAUUCCCGGUGUAGUGGUGAAAUGCGUAGAUAUCGGGAGGAACACCGGUGGCGAAGGCGGUUCUCUGGGCCUUACCUGACGCUGAGGAGCGAAAGCGUGGGGAGCGAACAGG
rnacentral:rRNA from 1 species